rnacentral:rRNA from 1 species
AGUGAACGCUGGCGGCGUGCUUAACACAUGCAAGUCGAACGAGAACGGGUUAUAGCUUGCUAUAAUUGUCAGCUAAGUGGCGCACGGGUGAGUAAUGUAUAGGCAAUAUGCCUCUUACUAAGGGAUAACAAAUGGAAACGUUUGCUAAUACCUUAUACUCCUUAUUAACAGAAGUUAAUAAGGGAAAGAUUUAUUGGUAAGAGAUUAGCCUGUAUUGUAUCAGUUAGUUGGUGGGGUAAUGGCUUACCAAGACUAUGACACAUAACUGGUUUGAGAGGAUGAUCAGUCACACUGGAACUGAGACACGGUCCAGACUCCUACGGGAGGCAGCAGUGGGGAAUAUUGCACAAUGGACGAAAGUCUGAUGCAGCAACGCCGCGUGGAGGAUGACACAUUUCGGUGCGUAAACUCCUUUUAUAUGAGAAGAUAAUGACGGUAUUAUAUGAAUAAGCACCGGCUAACUCCGUGCCAGCAGCCGCCGCGG